UACGAAGGGGGCUAGCGUUGCUCGGAAUCACUGGGCGUAAAGGGUGCGUAGGCGGGUCUUUAAGUCAGGGGUGAAAUCCUGGAGCUCAACUCCAGAACUGCCUUUGAUACUGAAGAUCUUGAGUUCGGGAGAGGUGAGUGGAACUGCGAGUGUAGAGGUGAAAUUCGUAGAUAUUCGCAAGAACACCAGUGGCGAAGGCGGCUCACUGGCCCGAUACUGACGCUGAGGCACGAAAGCGUGGGGAGCGAACGAGG
rnacentral:rRNA from 1 species